rnacentral:rRNA from 1 species
AGCGAACGCUGGCGGCAGGCCUAACACAUGCAAGUCGAGCGCCCAGCAAUGGGAGCGGCAGACGGGAUAGUAACACGUGGGAACGUACCUUUCAGUUCGGAACAACCCAGGGAAACUUGGGCUAAUACCGAAUACGUCCGUAAGGAGAAAGAUUUAUCGCUGAAAGAUCGGCCCGCGUCUGAUUAGCUAGUUGGUGAGGUAAUGGCUCACCAAGGCGACGAUCAGUAGCUGGCUGAGAGGAUGAUCAGCAUCACUGGGACUGAGACACGGCCCAGACUCCUACGGGAGGCAGCAGUGGGGAAUAUUGGACAAUGGGCGCAAGCCUGAUCCAGCCAUGCCGCGUGGAUGAUGAAGGCCUUAGGGUUGCAAAGUCCUUUCGGCGGGGAAGAUAAUGACGGUACCCGCAGAAGAAGCCCCGGCUAACUUCGUGCCAGCAGCCG